UUGCUCCAUUCCUUCGGCAGCACAUAUACUAAAAUAAGAAUGAUACAGUGAAGAGUAGCAUGGCCUCUGCGCAAAUUGAAUAUUUUAUAAAAUAUAUUU
rnacentral:snRNA from 1 species